UGGAGAUGACUAUACAAUAGUUUGUUCACAAGACUCAGGGAAAGUAAAGCAAGAAAGUGAUUGUGUCAUGAACAUGGGGGAGAGAGUGGAGCAAAAUGAAAAGCAAGGAAUGGACUUCACGAUGUUUUCUGACGGAUUCAGCAGUACACCAUGGGAACAUCUGUUAUAUGAGGACAAAAAUCAUGGUGAAUUUAAAACUGAUGCAAAGAUGUUAAAGACUAAUAUGUCAGGCACCAAAUUUUGCGGAUUUUGCAGACGUAAUGGAGCAACUUUAAAGAAAUUCUUAAACCA